rnacentral:rRNA from 1 species
ACUCCUACGGGGGGGCAGCAGUGAGGAAUAUUGGUCAAUGGGCGCGAGCCUGAACCAGCCAAGUCGCGUGAGGGAGGACGGCCCUACGGGUUGUAAACCUCUUUUGCCGGGGAGCAACGGGCGUCACGUGUGGCGCCACUGAGAGUACCCGGAGAAAAAGCAUCGGCUAACUCCGUGCCAGCAGCCGCGGUAAUACGGAGGAUGCGAGCGUUAUCCGGAUUUAUUGGGUUUAAAGGGUGCGUAGGCGGACGCUUAAGUCAGCGGUAAAAUUGCGGGGCUCAACCUCGUCGAGCCGUUGAAACUGG